rnacentral:rRNA from 1 species
AUUGAACGCUGGCGGCAGGCCUAACACAUGCAAGUCGAGCGGAUGAAGGGAGCUUGCUCCUGGAUUCAGCGGCGGACGGGUGAGUAAUGCCUAGGAAUCUGCCUGGUAGUGGGGGAUAACGUCCGGAAACGGGCGCUAAUACCGCAUACGUCCUGAGGGAGAAAGUGGGGGAUCUUCGGACCUCACGCUAUCAGAUGAGCCUAGUUCGGAUUAGCUAGUUGGUGGGGUAAAGGCCUACCAAGGCGACGAUCCGUAACUGGUCUGAGAGGAUGAUCAGUCACACUGGAAGUGAGAAACGGUCCAGACUCCUACGGGAGGCAGCAGUGGGGAAUAUUGGGCAAUGGGCGAAAGCCUGAUCCAGCCAUGCCGCGUGUGUGAAGAAGGUCUUCGGAUUGUAAAGCACUUUAAGUUGGGAGGAAGGGCAGUAAGUUAAUACCUUGCUGUAUUGACGUUACCAACAGAAUAAGCACCGGCUAACUUCGUG